CUCCGGGGAAACUGCAACAAUA
rnacentral:siRNA from 1 species